GACCGCUAGCCUGGGAACUUCCAUAUGCUGCCUCAGGUGCAGCCCUAAAAAGAAAAGAAAAGAAAACAAAAGUACAACUUGGGCUCAGCUCCAGCCCCUCCUCUUGGCUCCAGGCAGCCAGUCCCACAGGACCAGGCCAGGACCACAGAGGUCCCAGCUUUUCUCAGAAAGAUCCCACUACUGACCAGGGAGAGCCAUGCCAGAAAUUCUGCAAAAUGCAAGCGCAUAAGCACAUUCAAGCCGUAGGCUUUUGGUUUCUUGUCCCCAUGGCUUCAUUCCACCAAACUCCAUGUUGCCCAGAUGGAGGGAGGGAGUUCCUCUCUGACUGGAGCACGUGUUUUCCCUGUGACUUGCCCCAGGACUCAUGUCUGCAGCCACCAGGAACCCACUGGGGCUGGGCCUGGAGGAGGGAGGCAGAGCCCCUGGGGUUGAGGCCAGGGUAGAGCCUCCUGCCCCCCCGGAGCCUGGACCCGGGACCCCAGCACCCCUGGAAAGUGUGGUCCCUCAAGGAACCCACUCUAGACAAAGCCAGAGGAGGUGUUUGGAUCUGGGUUUGAGUUUGCACUGUGACCUGAUAUUCAAAGGCCCUUUGGUACCCUAGGACACAGCACCUGUGUUCCCAGCAUUCAACGCAGGACCUCCUGCCCGCCUCUCUCCCUCCCCAACACGCUAGCCACGGGAUGGAAUGAAUGGAAGGGGCGGCUGAAGACACAGGUGGAAACAAUCCUUCCUUCACAUUUGCUUGAGACCCCAAGGCCUUCGCAUCUUGCCGAGCCUGAGUUAUUCUUCUCUUAGUGCAUUGAGUCCACUGCCUGGAACAGCCUCAAUGCCCUCACCCCAUCCACAUCCUCCUUGUUCUUCCGGGUGUGGCUCAGUCCCGGCUUUACCACCUCCCUCCCUACCCUGGAGCCCCCAGGGACUUCUUUUUCUCCUUUGAGCUCUUAACUCUUGACGUCUGCAUCUCUCUCACGCGGCAUUAAUCCACAUUCAACAUUGUGACAUUGUUCAUUGUCUCGUGCAUCUAUGAAGUGUUUUGUGCGUUUAUUUUCCACACAUUUUAAACCAGCUCUUCCCAAGAGUAUGUAAGCUACAUAAGUAACUAAAACAUUUCCAGUUGUCACAUAGACAAAGCACAAGGAAACAGGCAAAAUUAGUAUUUUAUUUAACUCAAUAUAUAAAAAAUAUGUGGAAACAAUAUAAAAAUUAUCAACGAGAUAUUUUACGUUUUGGGGGUACAAAGUCUUUAAAAUCUGAUAUGUAUUUUACACUUAUAGGUCAUGUCAGUUUGGCUGCUAAAUUUUCAUUGAAAACUAUGAAUCUGUAUUUAAUAAUGACCUCUCCUUUUCUUAUAUAUAUGAUAAAUAUUGGGCCAGAGGAGUUCCUGUGGUGGCUCAGUGGCUAACGAAUCUGAUUAGGAACCAUGAGGUUGCGGGUUCAAUCCCUGGCCUUGCUCAGUGGGUUAAGGAUCCAGCAUUGCCUUGAGCUGUGGUGUGGGUUGCAGACGCGGCUCCGAUACCUCGUUGCUGUGGCUCUGGUGUAGGCCGGCGGCUACAACUCCGAUUCGACCCCUAGCCUGGAAAUCUCCAUGUGCUGCAGAAGCGGCCCUAGAAAUGGCAAAAAGACAAAAAAAAAAA
rnacentral:lncRNA from 1 species